rnacentral:rRNA from 1 species
AGAGCGAACGCUGGCGGCAGGCCUAAUACAUGCAAGUCGAACGGACCCUUCGGGGUUAGUGGCGGACGGGUGAGUAACACGUGGGAACGUGCCCUUUGGUUCGGAACAACUCAGGGAAACUUGAGCUAAUACCGAAUGUGCCCUUCGGGGGAAAGAUUUAUCGCCAUUGGAGCGGCCCGCGUCUGAUUAGCUAGUUGGUGGGGUAAAGGCUCACCAAGGCUACGAUCAGUAGCUGGUCUGAGAGGAUGAUCAGCCACACUGGGACUGAGACACGGCCCAGACUCCUACGGGAGGCAGCAGUGGGGAAUAUUGGACAAUGGGCGCAAGCCUGAUCCAGCAAUGCCGCGUGAGUGAUGAAGGCCUUAGGGUUGUAAAGCUCUUUCGCCCGCGACGAUGAUGACGGUAGCGGGAGAAGAAGCCCCGGCUAACUUCGUGCCAGCAGCCGC